rnacentral:rRNA from 1 species
AAGAGUUUGAUCCUGGCUCAGGACGAACGCUGGCGGCGUGCUUAACACAUGCAAGUCGAACGGAAAGGUCUCUUCGGAGAUACUCGAGUGGCGAACGGGUGAGUAACACGUGGGCGAUCUGCCCUGCACUUCGGGAUAAGCCUGGGAAACUGGGUCUAAUACCGGAUAGGACCACGGGAUUCAUGUCCUGUGGUGGAAAGCUUUUUGGGUGCAGGAUGA